UACGUAGGGUGCGAGCGUUGUCCGGAUUUAUUGGGCGUAAAGAGCUCGUAGGCGGUUUGUCGCGUCGGCCGUGAAAACUCACAGCUCAACUGUGAGCUUGCGGUCGAUACGGGCAGGCUAGAGUUCGGUAGGGGAGACUGGAAUUCCUGGUGUAGCGGUGAAAUGCGCAGAUAUCGGGAGGAACACCUAUGGCGAAGGCAGCUCGCUGGGACGUUACUGACGCUGAGACGCGAAAGCGUGGGGAGCAAACAGG
rnacentral:rRNA from 1 species